rnacentral:rRNA from 1 species
UACGGAGGGUGCAAGCGUUAUCCGGAUUCACUGGGUUUAAAGGGUGCGUAGGCGGGCAGGUAAGUCAGUGGUGAAAUCUCCGGAGCUUAACUCGGAAACUGCCGUUGAUACUAUCUGUCUUGAAUACUCGGGAGGUGAGGCGGAAUAUGUCAUGUAGCGGUGAAAUGCUUAGAUAUGACAUAGAACACCAAUUGCGAAGGCAGCUCACUAAACUGUCACUGACGCUGAGGCACGAAAGCGUGGGGAGCAAACAGG